UCCCUGGUAGCGCAGAGGGUAAAGCGUCUGCCUGCAGUGCAGGAGACCUGGGUUCGAUCCCUGCGUCGGAA
rnacentral:tRNA from 1 species